CACUGCCCGUCCUGCCCCCAGA
rnacentral:miRNA from 1 species